rnacentral:rRNA from 1 species
GACGAACGCUGGCGGCGUGCUUAACACAUGCAAGUCGAACGGAAAGGCCCUGCUUUUGUGGGGUGCUCGAGUGGCGAACGGGUGAGUAACACGUGAGUAACCUGCCCUUUACUUUGGGAUAACUUCAGGAAACUGGGGCUAAUACCUGAUCGGAUCUCCUGCUGCAUUGUGUGGGUUGGAAAGUUUCGGCGGUUGGGGAUGGACUCGCGGCUUAUCAGCUUGUUGGUGGGGUAGUGGCUUACCAAGGCUUUGACGGGUAGCCGGCCUGAGAGGGUGACCGGCCACAUUGGGACUGAGAUACGGCCCAGACUCCAACGGGAGGCAGCAGUGGGGAAUAUUGCACAAUGGGCGGAAGCCUGAUGCAGCAACGCCGCGUGCGGGAUGACGGCCUUCGGGUUGUAAACCGCUUUCGCCUGUGACGAAGCGUGAGUGACGGUAAUGGGUAAAGAAGCACCGGCUAACUACGUG